GCAGCUCAGAGCUCGCUCUGUCCCCUCCACCAGUCCCUGUGGGGCAACCCUGGGUUGUGACAUCUCUGAAAACAUGUUUUGGACUAACUGACAGGCCAGAGGAAGGCAGCGUGCCGGUGUCUCAAUCCUUCCACGAACUGCUUUUGAAGACGGAAGACGGCAGAGAGAGGGUGCGUAUCACCGUGGCUGUGGCUGGCGGUUGUCCCCCUCUGCCCCUCUUCCCCCUGCCCGCCGCCCUCUCGGCUUGUCUUUCCACCCUGUCCCCAUUCUUCAUUCCACCCCCUGGGGCUGGCCGGCCCCCUGCCCUCCUGUCUCCUCUGUACAACCAGCCCUCUAGGUCCCCCUGCUUACCAAACUCUCCUCCAAGAGGCCUCAACCAUGAGCAACUGCUCCCUCUUCGAAACUCUUAACGCCUCGCCAUCCUCCGAGCCCUGAUUCUCAGACCAGCAGAAUCGGUACCACCUGUGCACUGACUGCGCUAAAGCAUCUCAGCAUCUCGGGCUCCACUGGCUCCCUGCUCCAGGCUCUGUCAGAGCGCCUUCGGGAGAGGAAGGAGGUGGCCCCCCAGCUCCAGUCUCCUUAACUGCACCCUGGGAAGUCUGCACACUGCCUUUCUUUCUCCCCUCCUGGUGGUCUAAUCUGGAGUCAGAUCCAGCCGCUGGCUCUCGCAGAUGGGGAAGGACUGCCAGCCAACAGGAAAACAACAGGUUUCUAUAAUUCAUCAUUCAGUCCCUUCUGAAAACCUAGAAUGAGAGUUUAGCAGCUCAGAGCCCCGGCCUCUCUCCAUUCUCUCCCCAAACACAUCAGCUUGUUUGUUCCCUUUCAUCCGGGCUCUUCCUGUCGCAUUCUGCCUGUUCAAUGGGGAAAGAGUGAAACCGGAUGGCUGGACCCAGUGCGGGGAAAUGACUUCAGAGCCACCUUUGUUUCCCUCAUUCCUUUGAGCACACUUGGCCCCCGCGUCUCUAUGAAAGGGCUUGUUUGAACCAUUUGGAACAUCUCGCGAGUGGGAGAUGCUAUGGCCAGAAUCGCUCACAUCUUUUCAGGCUGCCUGAGACUGGGUGAAACUGCCAAAUUUUUGCAACAAAACUAACCAUGACAUUGGACAUUGUGUUAUAAAUUAGCCACAGCCUUCCAAGCAAAUUGUCUCUUUUCAUUGUGUCAGUGUAAGCCUUUGAAACGUUUGGCUCCAGCUACUGACUUUGGAGAGACUCAGAGAAUAUUUUUGUUCGGCCCCAAACCAGCCCUUCAGACACUAAGCUGCAUGGGCUAAUAUAUGUAUCUUAGUUGACAGCUCUUCUUACCACACUUACUCAGAAGAUUCCUGUUGGUUAUAUUUCAUUUCUCUGCCUAAAAUUCGGUUAAUGGGCUUCUCAGUUUUGAUGUAGCAGGAACCAUCUCCAUUUGUCUUUGAAACAAAAAGAUGUACUUCUCUUUUCUUAGGCUUUUCACAAUGAUUAUUGGAAGUUUCUUUGAAGGAGGAGUUCUUUUCAGAACUCCAGUGAGAGUUAUUAAAAUGUGUUACUAUGUUGCUCUAGGUGACAUAUAGAAUUUCAGCAUUCAGUACUCACAGAAGCAAUGAAAAUGUCUAUUUCUGUUAAAUCACUCUGUGUUUUUUUUAAAAAAGAAAACAUCUAUGCAUCCACUUGAGCUCUGUCACCAACAGCCAGAUCAAGUGUUUGUUAUUAAAAGGAAA
ensembl:lncRNA